GUCGAGCUCGGACGGGUGAGUAAUGCCUGGGAAAUUGCCCUGAUGUGGGGGAUAACCAUUGGAAACGAUGGCUAAUACCGCAUAAUGUCUACGGACCAAAGAGGGGGACCUUCGGGCCUCUCGCUUCAGGAUAUGCCCAGGUGGGAUUAGCUAGUUGGUGAGGUAAUGGCUCACCAAGGCGACGAUCCCUAGCUGGUCUGAGAGGAUGAUCAGCCACACUGGAACGACACGGUCCAGACUCCUACGGGAGGCAGCAGUGGGGAAUAUUGCACAAUGGGCGCAAGCCUGAUGCAGCCAUGCCGCGUGUAUGAAGAAGGCCUUCGGGUUGUAAAGUACUUUCAGUCGUGAGGAAGGCGUUGAAGUUAAUAGCUGUGUCGUUUGACGUUAGCGACAGAAGAAGCACCGGCUAACUCCGUGCCAGCAGCCGCGGUAAUACGGAGGGUGCGAGCGUUAAUCGGAAUUACUGGGCGUAAAGCGCAUGCAGGUGGUUUGUUAAGUCAGAUGUGAAAGCCCGGGGCUCAACCUCGGAACCGCAUUUGAAACUGGCAGGCUAGAGUACUGUAGAGGGGGGUAGAAUUUCAGGUGUAGCGGUGAAAUGCGUAGAGAUCUGAAGGAAUACCAGUGGCGAAGGCGGCCCCCUGGACAGAUACUGACACUCAGAUGCGAAAGCGUGGGGAGCAAACAGGAUUAGAUACCCUGGUAGUCCACGCCGUAAACGAUGUCUACUUGGAGGUUGUGGCCUUGAGCCGUGGCUUUCGGAGCUAACGCGUUAAGUAGACCGCCUGGGAGUACGGUCGCAAGAUUAAAACUCAAAUGAAUUGACGGGGGCCCGCACAAGCGGUGGAGCAUGUGGUUUAAUUCGAUGCAACGCGAAGAACCUUACCUACUCUUGACAUCCAGAGAAUCGCUAGAGAUAGCUUGGUGCCUUCGGGAACUCUGAGACAGGUGCUGCAUGGCUGUCGUCAGCUCGUGUUGUGAAAUGUUGGGUUAAGUCCCGCAACGAGCGCAACCCUUAUCCUUGUUUGCCAGCACGUAAUGGUGGGAACUCCAGGGAGACUGCCGGUGAUAAACCGGAGGAAGGUGGGGACGACGUCAAGUCAUCAUGGCCCUUACGAGUAGGGCUACACACGUGCUACAAUGGCGCAUACAGAGGGCAGCCAACCAGCGAUGGUGAGCGAAUCCCAAAAAGUGCGUCGUAGUCCGGAUUGGAGUCUGCAACUCGACUCCAUGAAGUCGGAAUCGCUAGUAAUCGUGAAUCAGAAUGUCACGGUGAAUACGUUCCCGGGCCUUGUACACACCGCCCACACACCAUGGGAGUGGGCUGCAAAAGAAGUGGGUAGUUUAAUCCUUCGG
rnacentral:rRNA from 1 species